AGCUCCCUGAGGCAGAAACUUCAGAGGGAAGUUGGGGGAAGGUUAUGAGGAAGUAAUGAGCCUUUGGAAAGUGAAGGAGGAUCCGAGCUGAAUCUGAGGAACAGCACCAGGGACUGGAGAUAAUUAGACUCAGAAAGGAGCCUGGGAAUGAGCUCAACUCCUGCAGGGACUGACCUUGCCCAUGAGUGGAGGUUCCGUAGGGGACUCAGGCAGAGGUGAAAGUAAGCCGGUACGGGCCGGUACGGAGGACCGGUCAGCACCUCAGCUAGUCCACCCAGCUAGGAAGCUGGGUGGAUAUCUUGGAAUAGAGAGUCCUCAGGGGAAUGCAGCUCUGUAACUCCAGGGGAAGAGUAGAGAAAGCUGUGUGGAGUUGGCCCGGCUCAAGCUGAAAUGGACCAAGGAAAAGGGAGAAGCAAUCACUGCAGAACA